UACGGGAGGCAGCAGUGGGGAAUAUUGCACAAUGGGCGAAAGCCUGAUGCAGCUAUGCCGCGUGUAUGAAGAAGGCCUUAGGGUUGUAAAGUACUUUCAUCGGGGAGGAAAAACAAAACUAAUAAUUUUAUUUCUUGACGUUACCCGAAAAAGAAGCACCGGCUAACUCCGUGCCAGCAGCCGCGGUAAUACGGAGGGUGCUAGCGUUAAUCAGAAUUACUGGGCGUAAAGAGCACGUAGGUGGUUUUUUUAAGUCAGAUGUGAAAUCCCCUGGGCUUAACCUAGGAACUGCAUUUUGAAACUGAAAUACUAGAGUAUCGUAGAGGGAGGUAGAAUUCUAGGUGUAGCGGUGAAAUGCGUAGAUAUCUGGAGGAAUACCUGUGGCGAAAGCGGCCUCCUAAACGAAUACUGACACUGAGGUGCGAAAAGCGUGGGGAGCAAACAGGGAUUAGAUACC
rnacentral:rRNA from 1 species